rnacentral:lncRNA from 1 species
UUUCCUUUUUUUAUUAUUUGUUUAUUUGGUUUUUCAGAUUAAAAUUUUACAGUCAUAUAUCAAACACAGAUAAUAAAAACAAGAUUCCAAUGAAUCUCCUGGACUUCCAUCCUCCCCUUUGUGGGUCCUAUUAUUAAUCGUUUUCUCCUGCAUCACAAAAGCCAUGGAAAUAACUGAGAUUUAGCCCUGUGGUUAACUGGCUACAGCCUACGUCAGGCAGUGUCAACAUGAGGUCACACCACCCAGUCUGACUUCUUCCAGUAUGAAGCAUCAGAGUGAAGUCAAAGUGGUCAGCCUCUAACCCCUUCAGGCAGACAGCAUCAGCAUGAGAUCACAACUAUGGCCAACUUUUCAACAGCAUGUUGACACAAUGGAGAUCACACUCCUUUAGUUAGACAGCAUCAGCAUGAGGUCACAAUGGCCAGUCUUAAUUCCUUGAGUGUCAGGGGAAUGAUGGAGACCACCUCCCCAUCCUGACCCUUCCAGGGAGGAGGAAGAUAAAGACAGUACAGAUUUACAACAGGGGUUUGCGGGAGGUCACAGCUCAGAGACAGAUGAGGGGGAAAGUUGGGAAAUCAUGGGAAAGGAGGAGCAGGCAGAGCUGGAGCAGCAGCUGGCUGACACAGUGUCAUUAGAAAGCAUUCCAGACCCACCAUCUCCUAGAACCCAGCACGCCUUGAAAGCAGGAGAGCAAAGAGCUCAAAAACAGAGGACACUUAACGGCACCAGUAGAAGAGAUGAUGAGACUGACAAAUGAGGAAGUGGAAUGUAGGAAUGAGGAAGUGGAUGUAGAGAUUCACAUGGCUCAACGCCAUUAUCCAAGAGGCUGGAUUCUAUAGCCUCUCUCUGUAAAUAUUAAAAUAAAAAAGGACGGUAAGAAACUUUUCCUUGUUUUUCUACUUUCCUGGGCAACCAGUUGGGAGCCACUGACAGCAUCCUGACAUUGGGUGAGAAUAUUGCUUAGUCCAGGCUUCCUCAACCUCGGCCCUCCAGAUGUUUUGAGACGACAAUUCCCAUCAUCCCUGACCACUGGUCCUGCUUGCUAGGGAUCAUGGGAGUUGUAGGCCAAAAACAUCUAGAGGGCCAAGGUUGAGGAAGCCUGGCUUAGUCUCUUCCUUGCUCUAGGCACAAUGUCCUAUCCAAUGGAGGCAGCGGGCAGGAGAUGAAGUGUGCACAAUCUAUUUCUCAUGGAGAUGGGCAGCAGUAGAACUGGAGCCCAGUGGUCACCAGGGUCUCUCUCACUGAAAAGAGAAGCAACAGUGAAAGGGGAUGAGAGAGCCAGCUGGCUGGCAGGCAGGCAUCCCAGCUAUUCGUAGGGGACUUUCUGCACUUACCAUUUAUAACUGGUAUAGUUGCUGGAUUUUGGGAUUUGUGGUGUGUUGCCAAACAACAACAUCCUUGAUCAGCUAGUAUCCCAGAAUAAUGUACUCAAAAGAACACCGUGUGUGAGCUCCGUUCAGAGGAGAGACCUGGCAGAUAGAGAUGAUGAUAAUGAGUCGAGGUGCUGCCCAUGACAGCAGUCAGUAGCUGCAGACAAAAUUCCAUGACAAUAGGCAGAUUCACCAUAGCUCAGGCAGAAAUGUAGUUACGCUCUGCACAGGGUUUCAGACAAGGGACUUUCCCAUCCCUACCUGGAGAUGUUGAGGAUUGAACCUGGAACCUUUUGCAUACAAAACAGAUUUUCUAUCACUGAGCUAGUGCCCUUCACCUCCAUUUCUCUAGUCCCUGUCCCUGUUGAAGGUAGAGGCCCAAGGCACUGAGGAAGAGGAGGAGGAGGAGGAGGAGGAAUAUGGUAUUGACAGCCGCUGUAGGGGUAAGGUUGAGGGUGAGAAAAAGAAAAAGAAAAUAUAUAAGAAAUGUUCUUAGAAGAUGUCUCCUGAGAAAUCUCUGCUCUGCUCUCUAGCACCAGCACACAAUUUGGGAAUUAAUGUGCUACACAACAGUCAUUUCAAAAGUUUGAGGAAGUAUUGGCAGCAGGUGUAUCUACCUCACUCUGCACUUCUGCACUGGGUUGCUUUCUUUUGGGGUGGGGGAAAGAGGUUGGUGGCAGCCCCUGGGACCCCCACCCCCUGAAUCUGUGGACCCGGGCAUUAGCCCAAAAAAGCUGAAUGUCGCCACUAGGCCCUUGUUUGUUUCAUACGAAAUCAUAACGUAUUCUGCCUAAUUUCAGCAACGUUUUGACUUACAGCCACACAAGUGUAUGCGUGUUUGCUCAUAAGUAAGUCCCAUCAGUUCAAUGGCACUGCUUCCUGCUAAGUGUGCUUAGGACUGGAGCUUUAGAAAGUUAUUUCUGACAGCUACUAUUUUUCAGACAAAUGUGUGCUUACUCGCAAGUACCUCGGAAAAUAUGCCGAAAGCCAGUGGGGGUGGGAUACAGAUAACAAUUGUCUUCAAGAAGGUUUCGGGAAGUAUUUUGUUUUCAUCAUUUUCUGUUUGGCAGGUUUUGAAGCGGAUAUAUUUGUAUUCACAGCGUUUCCCAUUUUCCCGUACACUGGUUCACAUUUUCAUAACUUUUACUACUCUUUUCUCCUUUAAUAGUGAGAAAGAACUUGGCAUUCUAAGAGAUCUCACUGAAGCUUGGCCCUUAAAAUCACUGCUGCAGUUAUGCGCUGACCUGUAAGAUGACUUCCAAGACUUUUCACACAUGAGAGGAAAUAGACAAUAAAACUACUCCUUAACAUUCUCUAC